CCUUGCAGCCACGGGAUGUUUUCCUACAUGAAAAGCCUUUGCAGGGAUCUGAGGGGUUGAAUGUAAUUCAGCUGCUGUAAAAUAAACCCAGAGGCAGAUUUGAGGCCAGGUUUGUUGGUGUCAACCCUCUCUCAACAGGCAGCUUUCCCCCCAUGUGAGGCUUUGGUGACACAACAAGGACCAUCCUGCACGUGGGGUCAGGCAGUGGCCACGUGCCUGUUUGUGGGUCAUGUCACAAAUGUUUUGCUCCGUGCCCUGAGCCUCCUUCUCCUGCUGUGUGAACCUCUCCAUGAGGCACAAGCUGGCCUGUGGAUUGGGGACUUGGAAAACAUCUGUGUCCAGCUCCAUGGAGGGCAGAGGGGACCGGGAGAAGCAGCAGCCCAGCUCCUGGUGAAGGUGAUCUACAGUGAGGCACAGGCAAGACCUUCUGAUGAAACCUGACCCAGGCAGUUGGAGUCAGGUGCAUCUGGACAUCUCCACACAUCCAUUUGCAGUGGAUGGAAGCCUUGGAGGGUGUAUAACCCAGGCAAAGAAUGGGAAUGGGAAGCAACACCAGCACAAUGAAUAAAUUCCAUAAUAUAUCUAUUUUUUCCUGGAAUCACAUCCUACAGACUGUCCUUGCUCUUCACCUUCUGCUCUCCAGCUUCUGAGUGGUGAACUGGUACGAACUCCACAGAAAACACAUUUCCACCCUUUUAUUUUCCAGGGCAGGUAUUGCAGCUUCCAGGAGGACUGGAAGGGCAAAGUUGUUUUCUCCUGGGGAGAUUGCGAAGGUGAAACUUUAUAUCUCGCAGCUGCCUCAGUCAUUCUCUUGAAGGCAUGUUCACCUCACUCCUCCAGCAGCACAGACCCAGCACUGCCCUCCUGGCACUGCUGGUGCUGCACUUGAGCUGAGCUCAUCAAGGACAAGACCAUCUUGGGCUUCUGUUGGAAAAGAGGGGUCGAUGCCUCAGCUGCAAAGAAAAGGAACUGAGUCACAGCAGAGGCUGCUGGAGAGAGGAUUUUUAAAAUACAUCAUUUUCUGUUUCCAGUUCUGGUGAGGAAACAGGCAAUUGCUGCCUUAAAAAAUUAAAUGCCGUGAAAUUUCAAGCUCUCUUUGUUUCUCAUAAACAUCUUGCGACUUGUGACAGAGGUGGCUGGAAAUGUCCCCUCAGAGCAGUGCCAUGCUGGCCCAGAAGUGCUUGAUCUGUGCUCUGGCCUUUUCUUCAUGUGGGUUGGACUGGUCUCUAGUCAGAUAAUAAAAUCAUCCGGUCAACUGAGUUUUAAAAAAUAAAUUUGAGCGAGUCAGCCUUCAUUUUGUAGCAGCUCUACCCAAUCCAUGCAGAGGAGUGGUUAAAACCAGGAUUUGGCCAGCACCAAAGCACCAUUUGCCAGCUGACUCCAGCUUUGCAGAGGGAGUCUGAAAUCUUGAGCUGUGUGUCUUCGAGCUUUGGCUGAGCUCCAGCUCUACCUACUCCCCAGGAAGGCCGGUGGGUUGGUGUGUGCUCUGCUGGGUGUGAACCACGAGGAGCUGGGCUGUGUUCACACAUGUUGGUGUCUGAGUCACCUCCACACUUCACCAGGUCGUAAUUCCUGAUGGGAAACACGCUCAGUAGUUUGGGCUUAAAUGGCCAUGCAGGUAUCUGGGCACAGCCUUUGUCUUAGAAGGUUUAAUUCAUCUCUAAUCCUGUCUUAUAUGGACUUGCUGCCAUGCAAUGUGAUCUGCAGUUAUAGCACCCCUGGAGCUGAGGGAAUGCCCUGACACCCACUGAACACUGAGCAUCAAACCCUGUGGCCAUAUUUUUAGUUAAAGAGCCUCACAAAGCCACCAGUGCUUCUCAAAAGGACUUCUAGGUUUAAAUCCAAAUAAUUUGAAUGAACUUGUCCAUUUCAAAGCCAAGCAGGAAUUCCACCCCUUUCACCUGCUUGUGUUGGUGAUGGAGCCCCGCUCGUCCCUCCCUGCCCCACAGCCCGCCCCAGGCAGUGGGAACAACUACACAGCUGCAGAAGAAAAGCCAAUAGCAGGACUGAAAUAUUCCCACAGGUUUGUCUUGACUUAGAUCUCCCAGAUAACGUCUGAUGAUCAUAAAAUACGGUGCCAGGUGAGAUAAUAUCACUAAUUAGAGGGACACCGUGCCCAGUCUUCAGCCAACUCUUGUGAAGCUCCAUGAGGUCAUUCAUGAAUAGGCUCCAAGGAAAAAAAGGCAAAGUGUCAAUAGGAAUGACUUUCUUCAAUAGAUUCACCUGUGAUAAGCACAUUCCAGUGACUCAGUGCAGGAUAAGUAGGUGCUGGAAUUUUCACAUCCACGAAACAGUAACUAGGAUAAAAAAAUCCAGUAAAUGCCUUUUUUUUUUUCCCUCCACUGAUUGUAUUUGAAAUGAAAGAUAAGCAUAGGAAGUCUGAGGCAGAAAACAAACUUCCAGUGUGUGUGGAUACUCACAGUCACCCCAGGAUGCUCUGCCCAUGAGGUAAUACCUCGUGGGAUGGCGGGGGAAAAAAAAAACCCAUCCACAAAAUUGCUUCCAGUCGGUUCUGAGGCAGGUCCUGAGCGACCAAACUGCCUGUCCUUUGAAACCAUUCCAGAUCACAUCAGUUGUGUUCUGAUUCAGAGUGGAAUUUGUUUUUCCCAUCAUGUGAGGGAGCAAACGUGCAGCCCAAGAAGGGCGAUGUCAGCUCGGACGCAAACACGCUCUGGGAGGGGAGCGAUGCCACAGACCCGCCAAGCAGAGCAGUGGGCUCAGCAGCAGGGUCAGUUCUGCAUUGCCUCUUGGACAAAACCAUCUUUGAAGGAUUAAUAACGAACUGAAAAGCUCGCUGGAAACGUCUCCCUUGUUUGUUUUGGCUUCCAGAGCAUUUCUAAGUGUAAUUACGAGCAGUUGAGAAACGGAGAGGGUGAAAAAAUCUUGUGGCUGGUUCUGCACAGGGCGGUGGCUGAGGAGACCUGGGUUGAUUUCUAACCUCUGUCACAGCCCAGUGUCACACAAAAGAAGAGAUUUGAAUUCAUCUGCAGCUCAUUCUCUAUGAACAGGGCUGAAGCUGCCCUUGCCUGCUCAGUGCCUGGUUCCACAGCCCCUUGCACAGAGGUACCAUGGGCCCUUCAUGUCCUGCUGGUGUUGAUGUAAUUCAGACAGUGAUAAUGAUACAGCCAUUUUUAAGGGUCUCCUGUGCUUAUAUAUCCAUAUAAAAGCCUCUCUUAGCAGCACCAUGCUGCUUCAGAAGGGGAAAAUCCAACACUCCUGCACACAGCUGCACGUCCUUUUAAGCCAGAGGACACAAGUGGAUUUGUGCUGUGCAAGAACCAAUGUCUUCAUUAAGAUCCAUGUUUGCUGGGCAGUGACAAAUCUUUCCCUCAGAACACGGUGAUUAAGGUUUAAUUUUAUUCGGGAUUACAGGCGGCUCCCUUUGCAAACCAGCCCUCGUCCAAGUUGGGGCACAUAUUGCCUGGAAAUGAACAUUCCUCUCCGACUGCUUAAGCAGCUUUGGAUAAGAAAUGAUGGUCUCAGGAAGAUUAGGAGCGUAAGAAAGGUCUCUGGGCUAAGAGCACGUUAAGAGAAAGUGGCAUCACGGGUUCAGGAGGAAACGCUGCCACCUGUGAGGGGCUGAAUCUUCCAAAUCACUGGGAGAAGGGGAAAGAAUGGAUUAGUGAAGGUGAGUGUGAUAAUAACCAAAUAUAUAUGCAUAUAUAAAUCAUCAGCAGGGCCUCAGCCUGCUCAGAGAACCAAAUCAGUGGUUCUGGAGGUUUUAUUGUGUGGCAGCCUCACACAAAAUGAAGUUACAGGUGACAAACACAGGAGGGUCUUGCCCAGAUCAGGAACUGGGUGUGGAAGAUGAGCAAAGGGCUGGAGGAGAAGCAGAGCAGAGGCAAAGGAAGUGAUGGCUCCCAGGGCUGCCCAGCAGAGCUGGGAUGCAAAACUUUGCCACAUUAUCCAGUUCCCUGUUCAUGCAGAUCCACCUCCUCUGGUGCUCCUCCUGGAUACUGUCUUAUUCUGCCAGAAAAUGGUAUUUAAAUACAGCACAUCAUUAUUUAUUCUUAAACACACAUGUUCUUAGACACACAUGUUCUUCCCCCUCUGGGAGCAGUGGGAGGAGGGCAGUGUGGAUAUUCCACAAGUUUAUCACUCUCUCUGCAGUGACAGCUUUGAUUUGUGAAACAGCUUGGAAUAAAAUACCGGCAAUUUUUCAUGGAAAAACUAGUGGACAUGACUUGUGUGUGUUUCAAAGAGAACAGCAGAGAGCUGAAAGGCCUGGACACAGCUGAGUGCCAAAAUCCUGGAUGGAUAUAAAACUUAGCAUUUUCAACUCAGAGAAGUAACAUUAGAAUCAUCCCUAAUUAAGCAGAUUCAGCUUGUUUAUUGUUCUCAAGUAUCUUCAGCUCUGCUCAUCAAUUUUUCACAUUAUUCCUUGGCUGUUUUCUCAUGUUCAGUCUCUUGCUGGUUUGAUGUUUUGCUCUCUGGAGAUUCCUUUCACAAAUUUAUAUUAUUUCCUUAAAGAAAUCUUUUUUUCACAGUUCCAAAUGAGUGUUGUCACUGUGAUAGGGUGUAGGGAGAGCACAAAGCCAGGCAGUGGAAACUCCUUUAACUUAAUGCCAUGGAAAAACCCCUCUGGCUUCCUGUCAGUCAAAGAAGGUCAAAGGCAGUCAGAGCUCCAACUCUGUCAAUGGAUCCUAAAUCCAGUAUUUAAUAUCGACCCCCAUCUUCACAAACCCCACAUGGACAAUGGUGACAGUGCUCCUGACAUCAGGGUGAUGAAAUACAACCAGGAGACUGAAAUGACUUCACACAGCAACCACUGCAACAGAACUGGAAAGGACCUUUUGUGGGUUUAAUGAGUUAUUUUAGUAGUAAGGUUUUGGUAGAGGAGCUCUGGGCAGGCAGGAGGGGGGGAUUGAGGGGCAAAGCUGGACUGUCUGGGUGCUUGGGGAUAUUUGAGACUGGUGUUGUAGGUGUUCAGAGCAGAUUUUGGGCUCACCUUGGCUCCUUGGCUGUGGGGAGGAGGUUUGCUGGGCAUGUCCUGGACCAGCCCCUCACUCAGGUGAUGGACCAAAGCUGACCUUCAGCUCUGGACGAGGUUUUUGGUGACCCAUGUUCAACUUUGGAGGAGAUUUCUGAAGAUUCAUCUUCGUGUGAUCUGUUUUAGCCCAACUCUGAGCACAGGGUGAUAGAAAUGCUCCCAAAGAGCAGUGCUGGUACCUGGGGAUGCCCACACAUGGAAAGCCAGGCUUAGACAUCCCCAAGGCUUUGGGAACAUCACUCACAUGGACCUGGGACCUGCUGCCAUCACUGCCUCUGUCCCUGCUGAGCCUGGGGGUGUCCUUCCUGAACUGAACUAAAAUCUAGAAGCAGCACCAUCAAAUCAGACAAAGACCAACUGGAACAUCCUGGAGAAGAGAGUGUUCCAAGUGACCCUGGUGGUGUGUAGGGAAAUGGCUGUGGGAUGACCAGAACUCACAUGGGAACUCUUUUUUAAUAAAAUGAAGGGGGAAGGAAGAGAACUAUUCAGACUUUUCCCUUGAAAAUUUCACAAAAUUACUUUUCACACACUUAAAUUAUCUCCACCUUCGUUUCAUAUAUGAAAAAUCUGUGCCUACAGAAUGAGUCAAUAAAAGCCAAUAAAAUGAGAACAGUA